rnacentral:rRNA from 1 species
UACAGAGGUCCCGAGCGUUGUUCGGAUUCACUGGGCGUAAAGGGUGCGUAGGUGGUGAGGUAAGUCGGAUGUGAAAUCUCCGGGCUCAACCCGGAAACGGCAUUGGAAACUACCUUGCUUGAGGAUUUGAGGGGGGAUUGGAAUACUUGGUGUAGCAGUGAAAUGCGUAGAUAUCAAGUGGAACACCAGUGGCGAAGGCGAAUCCCUGGAAAAUACCUGACACUGAGGCACGAAAGCUAGGGGAGCAAACAGG